UUGGAGGGCAAGUCUGGUGCCAGCAGCCGCGGUAAUUCCAGCUCCAAUAGCGUAUAUUAAAGUUGUUGCAGUUAAAAAGCUCGUAGUUGAAUUUCGGAAUCCAUCCGUCGGUCGGGCUUCACGGUCCGCACUGGUGUGAUGGAUUCCUACCUUCUGAAUAACCAGCAUGCUAUUAAUUUGGUGCGUUGGGGAAGCAGGACUGUUACCUUGAAAAAAUUAGAGUGCUUAAAGCAGGCUAGUGCCUGAAUACAUUAGCAUGGAAUAAUGAAAUAGGACGGCAUGGUUCUAUUUUGUUGGUUUCUAGGAUCACCGUAAUGAUUGAUAGGGAUAGUUGGGGGCAUUAGUAUUCAAUUGUCAGAGGUGAAAUUCUUGGAUUUAUUGAAGACUAACUUCUGCGAAAGCAUUUGCCAAGGAUGUUUUCAUUAAUCAAGAACGAAAGUUAGGGGAUCGAAGACGAUCAGAUACCGUCGUAGUCUUAACCAUAAACUAUGCCGACUAGGGAUCGGACGAUGUUGAUUUUUUAAUGACUCGUUCGGCGCCUUACGGGAAAC
rnacentral:rRNA from 1 species